AUAUGCCUACAACAUAGCGUUAAUGCACCGAAUCCCAUUAGAAAUCUGCAGUUAAGCGUGCUCAAGCUAGAGUAGUAUUGGGAUGGGUGACCACUCGAGAAGUCCUAGUAUUUUACAUGCC
rnacentral:rRNA from 1 species